GAUGAACGCUGGCGGCGUGCCUCAAACAUGCAAGUCGAGCGAGGCUAUGAAUUACCGCAAGGUAAGGCAUAGCCUAGCGGCGAACGGGUGAGUAACACGUGGGUAACCUACCUGGAAGACAGGGAUAACGAUUCGAAAGGGUCGCUAAUACCUGAUAAUAUCCAUCUGCCGGAUGGCGGAGGGAAGAAAGGGGAAACCCGCUUUCAGAUGGGGCCCGCGUCCCAUCAGCUAGUUGGUAAGGUAAAGGCUUACCAAGGCGACGACGGGUAGCCGGUCUGAGAGGAUGUACGGCCACACUGGGACUGAGAUACGGCCCAGACUCCUACGGGAGGCAGCAGUUGGGAAUCUUAGGCAAUGGACGAAAGUCUGACCUAGCGACGCCGCGUGAGGGAAGAAGGCCUUCGGGUUGUAAACCUCUGUCAUGGGGAAGAAGGAAGUGACGGUACCCAAGAGGAAGCCCCUGCUAACUACGUG
rnacentral:rRNA from 1 species